UCCCAUUACUUCAUGCGAUUCCGAUUUUCCUUCUGGUUAUGAAGCUUCUUCCCAGUCAUAGAUGACUGCAGUGCAUUUUGUAUAUGCUGCUCCUCCAAAUAACUUUUAAUUAGACAUUUAAAUUAGACUGGUGCUGGUUCACUGAAUCCAGAAUUUUUAUAUUUCUCCAAUCCAAUUAUUAGUUGUUUUAAUUCACCAGUUCAUAGCUCAUCAUUUAUUUUAAUAUUACUUACUAUGACAUUAACACUAUAAUUCCUAAAUUUUCUCACUAAGAAAAUAACUUAUAAUUGUCAGAAAUUAAGAAAAAAUAUUAUAAACAAUCAAAUAAAAAUAAAGACAAACUGGCUUAAGGAAUAAAUUCCAUAACUAGAAGAUAGGUAUUCUCUAGAGUGAGGAGGAGGAAUAAUGAAACACACUGUAAUGUGAAGGGAAAUACAUAGGAGAGCUUCAGGGAUUUCCUUUUUCUUUUGGGUCAGGGUGAAAGUGAGGCUAGCUCUCCAGAGGUCAGAAAUAUGUUCUGUCACAGAGUGGGUGGGUUUUCCCAGGAAAAAGGAGACAGGGCCAUGAGGUGAGGGGUUAAUCAGAUGGAAGAAUAUUUCCUAAAUGUUACAUUUCAGGUAUAGUUAUGGGGCCUUUCCCCAAUUCCAUACUCUCAAAAUUGUUACAAUAUAUUAGUGUUAUUGUCUUCACUUACAAAGGAGAAACUUUAGGCACAGAAAAGUUAAGAAACUUACUUUCUUAAAGUGCUUCUUGGCCAUUUGACAUUCUUGUUGACAAAUCUGUUUAACUCUGUACCUCAUUUUUUUUUUUUUAAAAAAAUGGGUCAUUUAAUUUGAUGGUGUCCAAUUUCUUGAGUUCUUGUAAUUUUCAACAUUAGCAUUUCUUUAGGUUUAGGGUUGGUGAAGAUUCUUUCUCAUUCUGUAGGGUAUUGUUUUGUACCAUUUGCCUUACGGAGGCUUUUCAGUUUCGUGAGGUCCCAUUUAUUGUUAAUCUUAGUGCCUGAGCUGUUAGUGCUCUGUUCAGGAAAUUGUCCCCUGUGUCAGUGGGUUCAAGGUUGUUUCCCAUUUUCUCUUCUAUCAGAUAUAGUCCAUCCAGUUUUAUGUGGAUGUCUUUGAUCUACUUGGAGUUGAAUUUUAUGCAGGGUGAUAAAUAUGGAUCUCUUUCAAUCCUUUUACAUGCAGACAUCCAGUUAGACCAGCAUGAUUUGUUGACUUUCUUUUUCCAUUAUAUAGUUUGGGCUUCUUUGUCAAAAAUCCGGUAUCUGUCAGUGUGUGGAUUUAUUUCUAGGUCUUUGAUUAGAUCUACUGAUCAACUUGUCUGCUUUUAUGCCAGUACUAUGUGGUUUCAUUAUGAUUGCUCUGCAGUAUAGCUUGAAGUCAGGGAUGAUGAUACCUGUAAAAGUUCUUUUAUUGUACAGGAUUGCUUUAGCUAUCCUGUUUUUUUUUUAAUUUUUUUCAUUUGAAGUUUAAUAUUGUUCUUUCAAGGUCUGUACAGAACUGUGUUGGAUUUUUCAUGGGAACUGCAUUGAAUCUAUUGAUUGCUUUUGUUGAGAUGUCCAUUUUUGUUAUGUUAAUCCUACCUAUCCAUAAACAUGGGAGAUCUUUACAUCUUCUGAUAUAUUCUUCAAUUUCUUUGUCCAAAGACUUGAGGUUAUUGUCAUAUGGGUCUUUCACUUGCUUGGUUAGAGUUACAUCAAGAUAUUUUAUAUUUUCUGUGGCUAUUGUGAAGGGUGUUGUCUCUCCAAUUUCUUUCUAAGCCCAUUUAUCAAUUGUAUGAAGGAGGGCUACCAAUUUUAUUUGAGUUAAUUUUGUGUGCAGUCACUUUGCUGAGGGGUUUGUCAGCUGUAGGAGUUCUCUGGUAGAGUCUGUGUGUCACUUAUGUAUACUACCAUAUCUGCAAAUAGCAAUACUCUGACUUUUUUCACCAAUUUGUAUUCUCUUGAUCUCCUUUAGUUGUCUUAUUGUUAGCUAAAACUUAACGUACUAUAUUGAAUAAAUACAGAGAACGAGCAGCCUUGUCUUAUCCCUGGAUUUAGUAGGAUUGUUUUAAGUUUGUCACUAUUUAACAUGAUGUUUAUUAUUAGUUUGCUGUUUAUUACCUUUAUUGUGCUCAGGUAAGGGCCUUGUGUCGAUGAUUUCCUCAAGAUUUUAACUGGAAGGGGUGUCAGAUUUUGUCAAAGGCCUUUUCAGCAUCUAAUGAGAUGAUCAUUGGGUUUUUUUCUUUCAGUCUGCUUUUAUGGUGGAUCACAUUGACAGACCCAUCCCUGAGUCCCUGGGAUGAAGCCUGCUUGAUUACGUGUGAAAUUGUAAAUACAGAGCUGUGCUGAAGCUUCGUCGAGCAUGAGUCCCUCGGUAGCCACCGCGUGGAGCAGAACCCUAACUGACACAUUCUGUGACAUGGGAGUGACACAAAACCAUACUGUACUCUGAGAAUCUCAAAGCCUAACUGUGUGGUGGCAGUAGUGUACCACGGAACAGAUUCAGGAAUUAAUUAACUUUCUUUGUAUAGUCAAGACAACACUGUUAAAUACUCAGAGCCCAUACUGUUUGAGACUUUACCUGGGAGCAACGACCACGGUAGUUAUAAAAUUAGGAAAAUGGAAGGUGGACUUUCAAGACCUUAGUAUAGAAUCUGCUGUGUUCGGUCAAUCAGCAAUGGAAGGGGAGAGGUACGUGCUAAGCAGAUGGUACUGUAAGAAGAGAAAGGACGGAGGAGGAAUUUAUGUUGUAGUAAAAUUCGACGCAUGAAUGAGAGGCUAGAGAAACAAUAGUCUGCUAGGAGAAUGGUCCAGGUACAGCACAGUGAGUACAAACUUUAACAGAUGUUUAAGGGAGAAAGAAGACACUGCUUAAACCUGGAGCAGGGUGAAAGCACUCCAGACUAAGAAGCCAUUGAAGACUUUGGAGUAAGAGGACGAGGGUGGCAAAGGCCGGCUGUGGAAAGACUUCAGUCCCCAGGACUGAUGUGAGAGGUGAUGCUGCCUGUGGAAAGCACAGCAGGAGACACUCUUUGCAUAUUGUUUAAAUGUAGAGGUAAAGCUUCUAGUCCUGGUGGGGAAAGAGCUGUCCUUUCAGAAGUGUAGAAGGAAAAAAGGAUUAUACAUGACCAGUGUAUCUGUCUACAAAGACAUUGCAGUGUUGUGUAACAAUCAUGAGGACCACAACCUAGCAAUGGUCCAGUAGGUUAGAGCCUCUGCAUCGUUUUUCCACUCAUGACAAUUUUGUAUUUGGUGUUAAGCAGAUUUAAGUUGGGAUUGGCUUGAGUCUGUAAGUCCAGUUCACGUCUAUUCCACUUGUCUGGUUCUGCAGGGGCAGUGAGCAUCUGGGAUGUUUUCCUUCCAGAUUAACAUAUGUGAAAGGAAAUAAACCCAACUGCAUGAAAUGAGUACCGUUGAAACCUCUGAGCAAAUCGCAAUGGUCCACAUUCCAGGAUGUCAAACAAGUCACAUAGACAAACCCAAAGCUAAAGGGUGACAGAGUACAUCUUUCCACCAUAAAGUCACACGUGGCAAAGUAUUAGGUUCGGUUUUUUAAUCUAUCAUAUUACUUUUGACAAAGGGGGAGAUUUAAACUCAUUCUCAGAUUUUGAACUUGACAGACACGAAUACUACCCACCUGGUUUAAUUAGCUCCUGGGACAAUGUGUUCUUAAGUACCAGAGAUCCGGAGUUACCAGACAGUGGAUCUCUUUUAGUGGACCUAACAUCUGAGUAAAAGCACUUGAUGGAGUGAAAAUGUAUUUAGUUUCAGAGGGUUCAUCAUAGAGAUCACAUCAUGAUGGAGAGAAAACAGGAACAGGUGAAUGGCAGCACUCAGGAGACUGCUUAAUGCCCUGACUCCUGCCACCUUAUUCUAUCCAGGUCCCAGGAUUCAUUCUUCCAUACUCAGGGUGUGUCUUCUGCCCUUUAGUUAAUCAUUUUUGGGAACACUUUCACAGCAACCACAGGAGUAUGCCACCAAUCUCCUAGGAGAUUCCAAAUUGGUCAAGUUUGUACUGAUAUAUAACCCUCAUAGGAUUCAUGUUUAUUUCCUUCCAAUAUAAGAGGAUACACCAACUUCAGGGAAUAGUUUUAGAUUUAAAAUGGUUCUCAUUCUACUUUAAAUACUUGUCCAUGAAGACCAUCCUUGUCCCAGAAUCUCUAGGCUUUCCUUCUCUAAGAUAUUGGUAAGUCACCUUACCGUCAAUGAAUCAUUGGCUAUACUCGUCCUAGCACCUGCAUACUCAAUGAUGUAACACAGAGCAUCUAGAACAUCUCAUGUGGGGCUGUGAGGUAACUGCUUUUUUUUUUUGCUAACUCAUUUAAUCCACACAGCAUCUCCACCGGCCAGGCAAGUUUCUAGUCUCUGGAUUAUAGAGGCAUCCAAGGAAGAGUGGCUCUUCUCAAGUUACUUUGCUAGCUAAUGAGGUUUAUCUAAAUCUCCCUGUCCUGCCCAGUUCCUACACAUCCACUCCGUCUUAGAGAAUAAUGGUGUCUUGCCAUCUAAUAUAAGCAAUUCAAGAUUACUUGUCUGUGCUUGUAUUUAUAAAAAUAUUACUUUUAGGAAAGUUUUUACCCUCCAAACUGCUAUUGUAUAGCUAUAUUUUAUUUAGUUGUUUGUUUUAAUUCAAUUCUGUGGUUUAGAACUCUUCUAGUACCAUUAGUAUAAUUGCGUCUUGAAUAACCUUUUACAAAUAAUUUAAUAAUCUAAAUAUGUGUGUACAUUGUUUAGCUCUUCCACAGUUGUUGACUCCAAUGGUCCCAUACAGUUUGCAUAUUAGCAAUGUUGCAUUGGUUACCCUGGUACAACCACCCCAAAGCACAUGGAUAUGCCCUUUGUCUGCUCGAUGUUCCAUAGCAUGUGCAUGCUUUCGAACCCUGCUCCUCUUCAUGGAGCAUUCUUCCACUGGUAAGAAAGGGGGUUGCUUCUGUGGCAGCAGAAGAGGUUGGGUGAAGAUGCCAAGGCAUGAUGAAAGAGGAAAGGCCUCCAGAACUGCAGGAGACUAAGGGUCCAUGUUUCCUUCCCAAUUUUCACUGGGCCUCCAGGGGUCAAUCUUGUUUCUAAUACUUAACUGCUUCUAGGGGAAAACCACCAAAACAAAGGCAAUUCUUUUCUCUUAUAAUGGACAGAGCUUUAUUUCCCAUUUGCUUGCACUCAAGAGGGUUCUGACAUUUUACUUAUUUAUUGACAAAAAAUAUGGGGACUUCUGUUUAGAGCAGAAAGAACAAUAUGGUUGAUGAAAGAAAUUAUAUUUUACCCAUCUAGCCUGGUAUGCCCAACUGGCACCAUUAUAAAAAACCCUUUUCAGGCGUCACUCUGCCUCCUGAUGCUUACAUCAUGUUUAGAGUGGCCAUGCAACAUGAUAGAUUGUCAUUCACUAAGUAAGUCACUAGAUCCAGGAUUUAAAAAAAAAAGGCCUCGGGGAAAAAAAAGAAUUCUUUGAAAUGGUCAAAAUAGAAUGCAGGUUUUCCUUAAGAAAUUUGUCUUAUGGCUAUUGAUAGUAGUCUUUGUAGCUAUUCAAAAUAGUCUGUACACAGUUAGGAAAAAUAUGUUCUUCUGACAGUUUAUGAAGUUCAGUGUUUGGAAAUUGGACAGCAAAGCUUGGUUCUAACUUAAUAACCAAAGCUAUGUAAUUAAUUAGUUCAUGCGGGUUUUGGGAGGAAAAUGGUGUUGCUGUGUUACAGUAAUAAUCCCAGUUGUUGAGUUAUCAGCAAACUGCAGCUCUUGUCUCAGGGGAAGGAACCCUGUAAUUUAACAAAUCCCCAUGUUUUGGGCUUUGACACUGCACAGGCUUUUCAAUUUCCAUCUGCUCCUCCGCUUCAUUAGGGUUUUAUUGUUGCUACCGUCAGGAACAUUUUGAUAGCUUUUCCUCUCUGUAAAAUAAUGUACCACUAACUAUCUUCUGUCAUCCCUUUGGAUACCUAAAAAUGGAAUGUCUGUUAGAAUGUUAAACAGCUUUUAGGGAGUAUUAUUUUGGACACUUCCCCAUGAGUCCAAGAUGGCUACCUUUGGUUAUAAUUGCUUUGUGUAUGAAAACAAAUACUGUUUUUUUUUUUUUUUUGGAGAAGAAAAAUGUCUUCUUAAAUUGGUUAACCAUCUUUUUACUGGUUGUGAACAUGACAAAAAUAUUUAGUGUUUUCACCCAAACUGCCUCUUUCUACAUCACUAGCCUAUGGAUGGAUUAAAAUAUUAACCUACCAAGAAUGGCAGAAGCAACAUCUGUAUUUAAACACACAUUCAUAAGAACACAUCCAAGAAGUUAUAAUGGGGCAUAUUUUAGUACUGAUUUAGUGAACAUCAGUAUCGAUUGGCAGCUCAGUGGAUUUAGAAUCACGUAGGAAAUAUACCUCUGGCUGUGUUUAUGAGGCUGUUUCCAGAUAGGAUUAGCUGAGAAAGGAAAACUCAGAGUGAACCCUAAGUGCAGUCCAACUGAAAAGAGAUCUGAAGAAGAGAAGAUGUUUCAUCAUCUUUCUUACUUUUGCAGCUUCUUUCUGAAUGGAUGCAUCUGUCACACCAUGAAAUCAUGCCACAGCUCUUUCAGCCUCCCACCGUAUGCUCAACACAACCGCUUCUCUUGGCUUUGGGUACUGGAUUGGGACUGCUGGGACAUCUAGCUUUACAGACUGCACAGUUAUGGGAUUCUCUGCUUCUCCUGCAUGCAGUGAGCAGAACAACUUGGGCACAAACCUGGCCAUGCCGAUGGACACAUUCACAGCUACUCACUGAGGGAGUUUGCUUCCCAAAUGAUGCUUAUUCAGAAGAGAGAACCAAAAGAAAAGGUGAGCCAGAUUCCAAAUGACACAUCUGAGUUAGAAACUUAGGCAUCUUUCAGCAUAUAGCAGAAUGUGUUCUUGCUUUUCCUUGAAACAUUUUAUUUUUCCCUUCAAUAUCCAUAUACAUUUCCCAGGGAUCUCUUUGCUGUGUUGAUUUUUA